UUCUGAAUGCUGACUGAAAACACAAGAAACAGUAUGUCAGGGCAGGAACUCUUCUGUCUGGUUGGCCAUGUGCUCUUGACCCUGAUCUUUGUAACUAAGGAGCGUCUGAUUCCAGUCCACUCUGGACACUCUUGAGAAAACAUCUGGCUCCCUGUCAAACCACUGUGACCUCGUAGCCAUUCGUGCUGGUGCCAGCCAUCCUUGCCUUAAACAUCUUGCGUCCCUUCUUUCUUCCCUUCGUAUCCUUUCAGCCGACGUCCAGUGGGUGCUCACUGGAAACCUGACCAUGAAGAAGAAAGAGGCCCUGCUCUCAGGAGAGUGGUAACAGAGACGUGAAAUCCAG
rnacentral:lncRNA from 1 species